GCCACAUCAUGUUGAAACACUGAUUCCUGUAUGAUCACUGAAGUUAAGCAUUGUCAAGCUUGGCCAGUACCUAGAUGGGUGACCACUUGGGAAUACAAAUUGGUGUAA